AGGAAGUUCCACUGGUUCUACUUCAGAUAUCCAGACCAACACCGCCUGGGAUUUUGUGAUUCCUCUGGGCUCGCGGGAGAGCAAGAGGACAGAGCCGCCGCAGUCAGAAAAUGGAGAGGGGGGAGGAGGAAGGGGAGGGAGGCAUGUGGAGCAUCAUGUGAACCAGCACACCACCACCAGUCAGCCAGCGGCAGCAGCAGGCUCGUUGAGUAGCAGCAACGCAACAGCCCAACUACUGGAGUUUCAAGGCCCGUACCCCCCGUGUGAUCCGACGCAACCCCGACCAGCCGGCUCUAGCCGACCAGGCCAGCAGGGUGUCCUUUGCCUCGGCUGAGAGUCUGGAAACCAUGUCUGAGGCCGACGUUCCCCUCGGGUUCAACCGCAUGAACCGCCUCCGCCAGAGCCUGCCCCUGGCGCGCUCAUCCAGCCAGGCCAAGCUCCACGC